UGGUGCUCCCGGUGGAGCAGUUGCUCGCCGUGAAUCCGUACAACCCCGACAUCUUUCCCUAUCUCGAAAACUACGUCAACGAGCAGGUAUGUAUCUCCCUCUCCGUCUCUGUCUGUCUCUUCAUUGAUGGGAACCGAUACUUGGGUUUGAUUAAUUUUGAUUGAACAACUGGGUUUAUUUGGUUGUUUUUCAGGUUUCUUCGCAAGCCUACAAUCUUGAUGCCAAUCUCUGCCUUCUUCACCUCUAUUAGGUAAUUUGAGAAUUGGGUUUUUAAUUUUAAUUGAUUUUUGUUUUAGAAUUACUGAGAAAGUGAAUUCUUUUUAAUUGGUUUAUGUUUUGCAAUCCAUAGUUUCCUGCAAAGAUGAAUGCUUUUUAAUUGGUUUUGUUUUAGGAUUCAUAAUUUACUGAAAAACGAAAAUUUUAGUUGGUUUUUGUUUUAGAUUAUAUAAUUUACUACAAAUUCUUUAUUUGGUUUUUGUUUUAGAUUGUAUGAUUUACUGCAAAGCCAAAUUCUUUGUAAUUGGUUUUCGAUUUUCAAUUUUAUAAUUUUGCAAGUGCCAAAGAGUUUGCUGAGCGUGAUGAACACUUACAAUGCCAGCGGAAGCCCCACAGUCUCUGCACCUCCGGCUGUGGCUCCGCAAUCAUUUAAUCUUUUGGUUCCAUUCCGUUCAACACGUACCACUCUAGGAUGAAAAAAAAACUUUAUAUACCAAAUGUUGAAAAUCAAGAAACUUCAUAGUAGUAAACUAAGAUUAACCCUUUAAUUUAAAUAAAACUCUAAAAGUGCUUUGAAUUUGAAAUGAGUAAGGAGCCCACGUGGAGC
rnacentral:lncRNA from 1 species